rnacentral:rRNA from 1 species
GACGUAGGGUGCGAGCGUUUGUCCGGAUUUAUUGGGCGUAAAGGGCUCGUAGGCGGUCCGUCACGUCGGGAGUGAAAACUCAGGGCUCAACCCUGAGCGUGCUUCCGAUACGGGCGGACUAGAGGUAUGCAGGGGGAGAACGGAAUUCCCGGUGUAGCGGUGGAAUGCGCAGAUAUCAGGAGGAACACCGGUGGCGAAGGCGGUUCUCUGGGCAUUACCUGACGCUGAGGAGCGAAAGCAUGGGGAGCGAACAGG